rnacentral:rRNA from 1 species
UACGUAGGGACCGAGCGUUGUCCGGAUUCAUUGGGCGUAAAGAGCUCGUAGGCGGCUGUUCAAGUCGAACGUGAAAACUCGGGGCUCAACUCCGAGCCUGCGUUCGAUACUGGAUGGCUAGAGUCUGGUAGGGGGAUCUGGAAUUCCUGGUGUAGCGGUGGAAUGCGCAGAUAUCAGGAAGAACACCCGUGGCGAAGGCGGUUCUCUGGGACGGUACUGACGCUGAGACGCGAAAGCGUGGGGAGCGAACAGG